AGAGUUUGAUCCUGGCUCAGGAUGAACGCUGGCGGCGUGCCUAAUACAUGCAAGUCGAGCGAACGGACGAGAAGCUUGCUUCUCUGAUGUUAGCGGCGGACGGGUGAGUAACACGUGGAUAACCUACCUAUAAGACUGGGAUAACUUCGGGAAACCGGAGCUAAUACCGGAUAAUAUUUUGAACCGCAUGGUUCAAAAGUGAAAGACGGUCUUGCUGUCACUUAUAGAUGGAUCCGCGCUGCAUUAGCUAGUUGGUAAGGUAACGGCUUACCAAGGCAACGAUGCAUAGCCGACCUGAGAGGGUGAUCGGCCACACUGGAACUGAGACACGGUCCAGACUCCUACGGGAGGCAGCAGUAGGGAAUCUUCCGCAAUGGGCGAAAGCCUGACGGAGCAACGCCGCGUGAGUGAUGAAGGUCUUCGGAUCGUAAAACUCUGUUAUUAGGGAAGAACAUAUGUGUAAGUAACUGUGCACAUCUUGACGGUACCUAAUCAGAAAGCCACGGCUAACUACGUGCCAGCAGCCGCGGUAAUACGUAGGUGGCAAGCGUUAUCCGGAAUUAUUGGGCGUAAAGCGCGCGUAGGCGGUUUUUUAAGUCUGAUGUGAAAGCCCACGGCUCAACCGUGGAGGGUCAUUGGAAACUGGAAAACUUGAGUGCAGAAGAGGAAAGUGGAAUUCCAUGUGUAGCGGUGAAAUGCGCAGAGAUAUGGAGGAACACCAGUGGCGAAGGCGACUUUCUGGUCUGUAACUGACGCUGAUGUGCGAAAGCGUGGGGAUCAAACAGGAUUAGAUACCCUGGUAGUCCACGCCGUAAACGAUGAGUGCUAAGUGUUAGGGGGUUUCCGCCCCUUAGUGCUGCAGCUAACGCAUUAAGCACUCCGCCUGGGGAGUACGACCGCAAGGUUGAAACUCAAAGGAAUUGACGGGGACCCGCACAAGCGGUGGAGCAUGUGGUUUAAUUCGAAGCAACGCGAAGAACCUUACCAAAUCUUGACAUCCUUUGACAACUCUAGAGAUAGAGCCUUCCCCUUCGGGGGACAAAGUGACAGGUGGUGCAUGGUUGUCGUCAGCUCGUGUCGUGAGAUGUUGGGUUAAGUCCCGCAACGAGCGCAACCCUUAAGCUUAGU
rnacentral:rRNA from 2 species